rnacentral:rRNA from 1 species
GGUGAGUAAUACUUAGGAAUCUGCCUAUUAAUGGGGGACAACAUCUCGAAAGGGAUGCUAAUACCGCAUACGCCCUACGGGGGAAAGCAGGGGAUCACUUGUGACCUUGCGUUAAUAGAUGAGCCUAAGUCGGAUUAGCUAGUUGGUGGGGUAAAGGCCUACCAAGGCGACGAUCUGUAGCGGGUCUGAGAGGAUGAUCCGCCACACUGGGACUGAGACACGGCCCAGACUCCUACGGGAGGCAGCAGUGGGGAAUAUUGGACAAUGGGGGGAACCCUGAUCCAGCCAUGCCGCGUGUGUGAAGAAGGCCUUAUGGUUGUAAAGCACUUUAAGCGAGGAGGAGGCUCUCUUGGUUAAUACCCAAGAUGAGUGGACGUUACUCGCAGAAUAAGCACCGGCUAACUCUGUGCCAGCAGCCGCGGUAAUACAGAGGGUGCGAGCGUUAAUCGGAUUUACUGGGCGUAAAGCGUGCGUAGGCGGCUUUUUAAGUCGGAUGUGAAAUCCCCGAGCUUAACUUGGGAAUUGCAUUCGAUACUGGGAAGCUAGAGUAUGGGAGAGGAUGGUAGAAUUCCAGGUGUAGCGGUGAAAUGCGUAGAGAUCUGGAGGAAUACCGAUGGCGAAGGCAGCCAUCUGGCCUAAUACUGACGCUGAGGUACGAAAGCAUGGGGAGCAAACAGGAUUAGAUACCCUGGUAGUCCAUGCCGUAAACGAUGUCUACUAGCCGUUGGGGCCUUUGAGGCUUUAGUGGCGCAGCUNACGCGAUAAGUAGACCGCCUGGGGAGUACGGUCGCAAGACUAAAACUCAAAUGAAUUGACGGGGGCCCGCACAAGCGGUGG